GACGAACGCUGGCGGCGUGCCUAAUACAUGCAAGUAGAACGCUGAAGAGAGGAGCUUACUCUUCUUGGAUGAGUUGCGAACGGGUGAGUAACGCGUAGGUAACCUGCCUUGUAGCGGGGGAUAACUAUUGGAAACGAUAGCUAAUACCGCACAACAAUGGAUGACACAUGUCAUUUAUUUGAAAGGGGCAAUUGCUCCACUACAAGAUGGGCCUGCGUUGUAUUAGCUAGUAGGUGAGGUAAUGGCUCACCUAGGCGACGAUACAUAGCCGACCUGAGAGGGUGAUCGGCCACACUGGGACUGAGACCCGGCCCAGACUCCUACGGGAGGCAGCAGUAGGGAAUCUUCGGCAAUGGGGGCAACCCUGACCGAGCAACGCCGCGUGAGUGAAGAAGGUUUUCGGAUCGUAAAGCUCUGUUGUAAGUCAAGAACGGGUGUGAGAGUGGAAAGUUCACACUGUGACGGUAGCUUACCAGAAAGGGACGGCUAACUACGUG
rnacentral:rRNA from 1 species